CNAUAAANAUUCAAUAAGCGGUGGAAAAGAAACUAAACCAGGAUUCCCCUAGUAACGGCGAGUGAACAGGGGAUUAGCCCAGCACCGAAGUCUGUGUCCGCUUGGGCACUAGACAAUGUGGUGUUUAGGUUGGCGCUUUUGAGUGUUACUCCAUUUAAAGUCCAUUCUUGAAUAUGGCUAAUAGAUUGGCCCGAAGAGGGUGAAAGGCCCGUGUGGAUGGAGUGAUGCUUGACUGUGCUAGCUGGAAGAGUCGGGUUGUUUGAGAACGCAGCCCAAAGUUGGUGGUAAACUACCAUCUAAGGCUAAAUACUGGCACGAGUCCGANAACGAACAAGUACCGUGAGGGAAAAGUUGAAAAGUA
rnacentral:rRNA from 1 species